rfam:Gossypium hirsutum cultivar TM-1 chromosome 15, whole genome shotgun sequence
AAUCCAUUGUGUGGGCAUUUUGGAAUCAACGUUUUGAAACAUUCCCAUACCUCAUAAAAAUUUCUCCCUCAAUCUGUUUAAAGACAUCAAUCUCUUUUCUUAGUUG